rnacentral:rRNA from 1 species
AUUGAACGCUGGCGGCAUGCCUUACACAUGCAAGUCGAACGACAGCACGGGUGCUUGCACCUGGUGGCGAGUGGCGAACGGGUGAGUAAUACAUCGGAACGUACCUUAUCGUGGGGGAUAGCGCAGCGAAAGCUGUGCUAAUACCGCAUACGCCCUGAGGGGGAAAGCGGGGGAUCGCAAGACCUCGCGCGAUUAGAGCGGCCGAUGCCUGAUUAGCUUGUUGGUGGGGUAAAAGCCCACCAAGGCGACGAUCAGUAGCUGGUCUGAGAGGACGAUCAGCCACACUGGGACUGAGACACGGCCCAGACUCCUACGGGAGGCAGCAGUGGGGAAUUUUGGACAAUGGGGGCAACCCUGAUCCAGCAAUGCCGCGUGAGUGAAGAAGGCCUUCGGGUUGUAAAGCUCUUUUGUCAGGGAAGAAACACCGGCUCUAACACAGUCUGGGAAUGACGGUACCUGAAGAAUAAGCACCGGCUAACUACGUGCCAGCCGCCGCGGUAA